GUUGGUUACAGUUCAAAGACUGGGCAGCACAACAUAAUUAAGAAGCGACUGACUUCUGGGAAAAGAUGGAAAGAGCUCAGAGUCUGAGAGCUGUGUGGCAGAAAACCCUGGAAGGAGGUGAUCACCAUUUCCAAGAAUUGAAAUUCAGUAACUAAAAGGCUAGAAGAGGACCUUCUUGGGGAGCUGGGAGUGGUUCAAAAGUGCUAAACAACUGGAUAUGCAUGGAAUGGCCAGCUAAGAAAGCAUGCGUUCUGGAUUGUGUAUGUGCCUCAAGCAUGUGGUCAGUCAGAUUCGCACCUGGGACUUUUGUUAGAGGUCUUAGGACAGGUGUGUGUUCACAUGUGUUUACUUUGGACUCGCCAGCCAUGAGGAUCGUUUAGGCCUGAAGCUAGAGAUGACCACUGUCCAGUCCAAUGGAAGGAGUCUACCUGAAGAUGACAACAACAUAGAGGAAAAGAGAGCCGAGAAAUGCAGAAUGGCGUGCGCCUGCUGACUACACCGGAUGCCUGGACCCAGCUGUGCCCGAAGUCAGAAGUCAAUCUGGAUGUGUCAGUGACGACAACAAUGAAUUCCUUUUUAUUCCUAAAGCAGAUUGACAGAUGCUGCUGUUGCUUGCGGCUGCAGUGGUCUUGCUAUUACACCCUCCUCCAUCUGAUCUGAACUCCAAAUGGAGAGCCUUCCAGAGAGCUGUGUGCCCCCCAGGAGUGAGUUUGAUGGGAAUCUAUCUUGAAGAAUGUGGACACUAAAGAGGUAUGGGACUUGGGACCACAGAGAGUCUGGGAGAGGCCCAGCCUGUGCCUGUUUGAUGAGACUUCCAGCAUCUCAAGAAAUAAAAAUGAAGAACUGACAAAGGCCACCAAAAAUUAGGGAAUAUUUUCAAUGUCUACAGUGAAUGAAAUAAGAACUUGAAUACUAAUUAUGUAUUAGUAUUAGUAACAAACACACUAAUUACUGUCCACCACAGUGACGUUGCGUUGUGUACAGCAUUGCAGGGUUUGUAAGACACCAUAUCUCAGAAUGAACUACAGCCAGCAUGGUCUCUGGAUGGGGCACAGGUGGUGGUGUUCAAAUGUCCCUUAGACACCUCGCUCCAGC
ensembl:lncRNA